rnacentral:rRNA from 1 species
GGCGGACGGGUGAGUAAUGCUUGGGAAUCUGGCUUAUGGAGGGGGAUAACUACUGGAAACGGUAGCUAAUACCGCGUAAUAUCGAGAGAUUAAAGACUGGGACCUACGGGCCAGUUGCCAUAAGAUGAGCCCAAGUGGGAUUAGGUAGUUGGUGGGGUAAAGGCCUACCAAGCCCGCGAUCUCUAGCUGGUCUGAGAGGAUGACCAGCCACACUGGAACUGAGACACGGUCCAGACUCCUACGGGAGGCAGCAGUGGGGAAUAUUGCACAAUGGGGGGAACCCUGAUGCAGCCAUGCCGCGUGAAUGAAGAAGGCCUUCGGGUUGUAAAGUUCUUUCGGUGGUGAGGAAGGUAUCAACUUUAAUAGAGUUGGUAAUUGACGUUAUCCACAGAAGAAGCACCGGCUAACUCCGUGCCAGCAGCCGCGGUAAUACGGAGGGUGCGAGCGUUAAUCGGAAUGACUGGGCGUAAAGGGCACGCAGGCGGAUUGUUAAGUGAGAUGUGAAAGCCCCGGGCUUAACCUGGGAAUUGCAUUUCAGACUGGCAAUCUAGAGUAUUUUAGGGAGGGGUAGAAUUCCACGUGUAGCGGUGAAAUGCGUAGAGAUGUGGAGGAAUACCGAAGGCGAAGGCAGCCCCUUGGGAAUAUACUGACGCUCAUGUGCGAAAGCGUGGGGAGCAAACAGGAUUAGAUACCCUGGUAGUCCAC